rnacentral:rRNA from 1 species
GUGCCAGCAGCCGCGGUAAUACAGAGGGUGCAAGCGUUAAUCGGAAUUACUGGGCGUAAAGCGUGCGUAGUCGGUUAUCUAAGUCGGGUGUGAAAUCCCAGGGCUCAACCUUGGAAUUGCAUUCGAAACUGAAUAGCUAGAGUUCGGCAGAGGGAAGUGGAAUUUCCGGUGUAGCGGUGAAAUGCGUAGAUAUCGGAAGGAACAUCAGUGGCGAAAGCGACUUCCUGGACCAGAACUGACGAUCAGGCACGAAAGCGUGGGGAGCAAACAGGAUUAGAAACCCGGGUAGUCC